rnacentral:lncRNA from 1 species
AGUGACACAUAUUAUAAAAGUAAAAUGUCAUGAAUGAGUGAACUUUUGUAUUUUUUAAGAAAAAAAAGAAAAUAAAAGAAUAAGAAAAGGUAAUAUGAAAUGAAUGUAAAAAAUGUAUAUAUGUCAAACUAUUAUUUUUCAUUUGAAAAAUCAGAAAAAAAAAAAAUAAUCGUUGUAAAGAGAUAGUAGUUACAAAGUUUAAUCAAUCAACUCCCUAGCAUCUUUUUUUCCUGUCUCUUGCUUUUGUCCAAAG